GUGAAUAAACUUACCGCUGUCAAAUGGAGAAUGAUGAAAGACGUGGUUUACACAAAGGCACUGUUCUGGGGGGGGGAUAAAUAAGGGAAAAUGGACACUGAUCUGCUUCAGUGUUGUAGAGGCUAUUAUAUGACAAACUGAGUGAAGAACGUAUUACUCCAGGCUUGUACAGAAUUAUGUCAGCCAAGGGGCCAGCUGAGAUUGUAAAAGUCUCUUACCAGGGGAAGAAAAACACCGAAUGUUUGGUAAUAACUGUGCUGUUACUCAGGCGUCGGUGAUGGAUUAGUCCCUGGUUAAAGUAACUGAGCUGAACCCACAGAUGCCGAAUUACACGGGAGGGAGUUCUGAUAUCCACCCCGCUGCGCUCCAGAGAGCAACUGCUGCAGCGGAAUGGGAUCUUCAUUCAACAUCUGGAAGUGGAGCCUCCUGCACCAUCAGGCGUAGCUGAGUCCUGUUCCUGCCCCAGUGCUCUCUGGAGGGAGACCAGCACAGCGGUCAGAAACACAGAACUGUGCAGGCUGUACCCCGAAGCACUCGAAUCCAGCAAAGCACUCUAGCAUGCAGUACCAGCACAUGCCUGUUCCCAUUGCUGGGAAGUUUCUGGAAUUAUAAAUAAAGGCCUGCUCGAAGCUAAGCA
rnacentral:lncRNA from 1 species